AUUAUGACGUACUUGUACUGAUUGAGAUUUUAACACGAAGUGAGUGGCGAACGGGUGAGUAACACGUGGGUAACCUGCCCAGAAGUAGGGGAUAACACCUGGAAACAGAUGCUAAUACCGUAUAACAGAGAAAACCGCAUGGUUUUCUUUUAAAAGAUGGCUCUGCUAUCACUUCUGGAUGGACCCGCGGCGUAUUAGCUAGUUGGUGAGGUAAAGGCUCACCAAGGCAGUGAUACGUAGCCGACCUGAGAGGGUAAUCGGCCACAUUGGGACUGAGACACGGCCCAGACUCCUACGGGAGGCAGCAGUAGGGAAUCUUCCACAAUGGACGCAAGUCUGAUGGAGCAACGCCGCGUGAGUGAAGAAGGGUUUCGGCUCGUAAAGCUCUGUUGUUAAAGAAGAACGUGGGUAAGAGUAACUGUUUACCCAGUGACGGUAUUUAACCAGAAAGCCACGGCUAACUACGUGCCAGCAGCCGCGGUAAUACGUAGGUGGCAAGCGUUAUCCGGAUUUAUUGGGCGUAAAGCGAGCGCAGGCGGUCUUUUAAGUCUAAUGUGAAAGCCUUCGGCUCAACCGAAGAAGUGCAUUGGAAACUGGGAGACUUGAGUGCAGAAGAGGACAGUGGAACUCCAUGUGUAGCGGUGAAAUGCGUAGAUAUAUGGAAGAACACCAGUGGCGAAGGCGGCUGUCUGGUCUGCAACUGACGCUGAGGCUCGAAAGCAUGGGUAGCGAACAGGAUUAGAUACCCUGGUAGUCCAUGCCGUAAACGAUGAUUACUAAGUGUUGGAGGGUUUCCGCCCUUCAGUGCUGCAGCUAACGCAUUAAGUAAUCCGCCUGGGGAGUACGACCGCAAGGUUGAAACUCAAAAGAAUUGACGGGGGCCCGCACAAGCGGUGGAGCAUGUGGUUUAAUUCGAAGCUACGCGAAGAACCUUACCAGGUCUUGACAUCUUCUGACAGUCUAAGAGAUUAGAGGUUCCCUUCGGGGACAGAAUGACAGGUGGUGCAUGGUUGUCGUCAGCUCGUGUCGUGAGAUGUUGGGUUAAGUCCCGCAACGAGCGCAACCCUUAUUACUAGUUGCCAGCAUUAAGUUGGGCACUCUAGUGAGACUGCCGGUGACAAACCGGAGGAAGGUGGGGACGACGUCAAAUCAUCAUGCCCCUUAUGACCUGGGCUACACACGUGCUACAAUGGAUGGUACAACGAGUCGCGAGACCGCGAGGUUAAGCUAAUCUCUUAAAACCAUUCUCAGUUCGGACUGUAGGCUGCAACUCGCCUACACGAAGUCGGAAUCGCUAGUAAUCGCGGAUCAGCAUGCCGCGGUGAAUACGUUCCCGGGCCUUGUACACACCGCCCGUCACACCAUGAGAGUUUGUAACACCCAAA
rnacentral:rRNA from 1 species